rnacentral:rRNA from 1 species
CUUUACUGUAGCUUUGCAUUGGACUUUGAACCAAUCUGUGUAGGAUAGGUGGGAGGCUUUGAAGCGGGGACGCCAGUUCUCGUGGAGCCAUCCUUGAAAUACCACCCUGGUUUGUUUGAGGUUCUAACCUUGUCCCGUAAUCCGGGUCGGGGACAGUGCAUGGUAGGCAGUUUGACUGGGGCGGUCUCCUCCCAAAGUGUAACGGAGGAGUUCGAAGGUACGCUAGGUACGGUCGGACAUCGUGCUAAUAGUGCAAUGGCAUAAGCGUGCUUAACUGCGAGACUGACAAGUCGAGCAGGUACGAAAGUAGGACAUAGUGAUCCGGUGGUUCUGUAUGGAAGGGCCAUCGCUCAACGGAUAAAAGGUA